CUGAGGGACGAGGACCUCACCUGCAAGACAUGACUCCCAUGUGGCUCUUCCUCUUCCUGCUGUCAGCUCCCAGAUGUGUCCUGUCCCAGGUGCAGCUGCAGGAGUCGGGCCCAGGACUGGUGAAGCCCUCGCAGACACUCUCCCUCACCUGCUCUGUCUCUGGUUACUCCAUCACCAGUGAUUACUACUGGAGCUGGAUCCGCCAGCCACCAGGAAAAGGGUUGGAGUGGAUAGGGAGCAUACGCUAUGAUGGUAGCACUUACUACAGCCCCUCCCUCAAGAGCCGAACCUCCAUCUCCAGAGACACAUCCAAGAACCAGUUCUUCCUUCAGCUGAGCUCCGUGACCACCAAGGACACAGCUGUGUAUUACUGUGCAAGAGACACAGUG